GUCGCGGUGGCUGAUCGGUAAAGCGCUUGGCUUUCGAACCAGGGGGCCCGGGUUUGAAUCCUGGUGAAGACU
rnacentral:tRNA from 1 species